AUUGAACGCUGGCGGCAGGCUUAACACAUGCAAGUCGAGCGAGCGGCGGACGGGUGAGUAAUGUCUGGGAACCUGCCUGAUGGAGGGGGAUAACUACUGGAAACGGUGGCUAAUACCGCAUACCAUCAGAUGUGCCCAGAGGGGAUUAGCUAGUAGUGGGGGUCAUGGCUCACCUAGGCGACGAUCCCUAGCUGGUCUGCGAGGAUGAACAGCCACACUGGAACUGAGACACGGUCCAGACUCCUACGGGAGGCAGCAGUGGGGAAUAUUGCACAAUGGGCGCAAGCCUGAUGCAGGCAUGCCGCGUGUGUGAAGAAGGCCUUCGGGUUGUAAAACACUUUCAGCGAGGAGGCGUUACUCGCAGAAGAAGCACCGGCUAACUCCGUGCCAGCAGCCGCGGGAAUU
rnacentral:rRNA from 1 species